AACAAACCCCAGCACUGACACUAAGAAAACCAACAAAAGUGCCAGCUAUAGACCUGCAAUGGGAAACUUGGAGAACAUCUUCUUAAACAGCACAAAACUUGCCCCUCCUAUAUCUGUUCAUCCUUCCCAUAAGCCUCUGCUGCAGGUCAACUACAGCUCCUCCUGCAGUCUGCCUGCAGGAUUCAAAGUGCGAGAUCAAGCAUCAGAACCAGUGUCCUC